rnacentral:misc_RNA from 1 species
AAGUCGUAACAAGGUUUCCGUAGGUGAACCUGCGGAAGGAUCAUUAUUGAAUGAACCUUUGGUGAAGGGGUUGUUGCUGGCCUCUAGGGGCAUAGUGCACACCUCUUUACCAUUGCUUCUUUCUCUUUUUCCACCUGUGCACUUAUUGUAGACUUUGGGUUGUGAGGAGCUGAGUGGUCAAGCCCUUGGCUCUUUGUUAAGCCUUCCAAGGUCUAUGUCAUCUUUACAAUACACUCUGCAUGAAUGUUUAUAGAAUGUAGUUUUUGUAUGGCUUUUCUCAAAGCCUGUAAACAAAUAAUACAACUUUCAACAACGGAUCUCUUGGCUCUC